rnacentral:lncRNA from 1 species
UAAUUUGUGAGGAUUUGAGCGCUUGAAUGAGAGCACUGCAACUUUGGAACAAAGUGAGCAUCCGAUUUUGCCUCUCUCGCGGCACAGAGAUACUAAUUGAAACUGAAGGUUGUAAAAAGAUCUAAUCUUUUGUUCUUUCUAUUUGUAUUUCAAUUUGAAUCAAUUGACAAACUGGGGAAAUGAACUUGAGUAACUUCAAUUUUUAUAUUAGCCUAUCGUUAAAUUCAUUUCAAAUUAAAUUUUCAAGAAUAUCUCUGCAUGUCUCUGUCUGUGUGUGUGUAUCCAUUUUGAAAUUGAAACAGUAAAGCAUUUAAGUAAUUAGUUCUUCAGCGUUUUACAGAAGCAGCUUAUGGUAUGGAUUUUAUGUAGCGACAACUGAGAUGUAUCUUACUAUUUCUAUCUUGAGUUCUUAUGUUAUUUAUAAUGCUAAACAUGAACGGAUCCAGCUUUAUUUACUUUCAUACUCUUCCAAGCUAAAUGUUCCUAUACUCAUGUUCCUUUCUUUUGUUGACCCAAUUAAUUUUUGCCUUCCCGAGAGGAGUUUGAGAACUUGUUUUUAUGACGGUAGUGUCCGGUUCAACUUGCAUGUACCUCGACUAUUCCACCUGAUUCCUGCUAUCUCUCACUAGUAUAGGUACCGAGUAACUCUACCCAUCGAGGCUUGGUCAGGUGGGAAGAUAUCACCUAGUAUUUUUCGCUUCAGCGAGGAUUUGUACCCGUGACCUCAUGGUUUUCCUCCCACUUCUCUGACCAGGCCACUACCCAGGGUACUUGAGAACGUAUUAUUUUGAACUUUUUUCUGCUUGAAUGUUAUCUUUUUCUUUGUUGAGUAUGUAUUUGAAUGUUUUAUGCAUAUAACUAUAAUGGAUAUCCAUUGCAAUCUGGCUUGACUUAGACAAGCAGAGUAGGAUCUUAUGCUAUGGUGAGUGGUGACCGGCAUUUCUAUCUAGUAUCUAGUGCUACGACUAGUAUGUCAGAGACCGUCCCAAUUUAUUUCUACAUCUACCCUAAUAAUAUUCCUUGAUUUAAUAUAAAAAAGAUGUAUCCAGUUCUGAUUUUCAGUGGUCAUACUAAGUUAAAGCACGAACUUCAGUUUUGAGAAGAAGGACUAGUGUAGAAGUAUGAUUUAAUCAACAUAAUGUCAUUUUCUAAUGCUUCUUUCUUUCCCUAAAGCUCAUAAUUCACUGAUUACAAGGUUGAUGCAACUUAUAGAGGUGAGUAUUUACUAUUUAUCGAGUGAAAGGAAGCUAUUGAAAAAGUAGCAGCGGUAGGACGAGGAGGAAAUCUUCGACCCAAUAAGUUGUAGAAUUAUGUAUUGUAUCAUUGCUUUGAUUUUAACCUAUUUGCCAGCUCGAAUUGUUAGGUUUGAGUUUUCUAGUAAAUACUCACUGACUUACAUAAUUUUACGUUACCAGUUUCAGAUUUUGAAUAGGCUUUGUUGGGGGAGCUGGCAUCUAAAGUCUAAAGAAAGCAAGAGAAAGUGUUUAUAUCCUAUUUUCACUUGCUCAAGGAAUUCUUUGAUUAAGUUUACCUGUUAUGUUUGCCCUUCCUCAACAAAGCCCCCUUGUAUUUUGGCCUUGUUUGAGGCCUUUAGAUAAAGUUUUAUUAUUAUCCAUUUGAAAAAAAUCACGAAUGGAUGUCAUUAUGAUAUUAAGUUAAUGGGCACGAGCAGCAACAACAACAACAACAACAACCCAGCAUAGUCCCCUGAAAGGGCAGAGAGGCUUUUUCCAAUCGACCCUCGGCUCAGUGAAGGAAAGGAAAAACAAAAACAAAAANN